rnacentral:rRNA from 1 species
GGUACUCCCAGGGUAGGGGGGAAAUCCUGUAAUCGUGGGAGUUUUCACGUGAGACGAAGGCGUCCAGCUGGAACGAACCUGACGGUGAGGGACGAAAGCCAGGGGCGCGAACCGGAUUAGAUACCCGGGUAGUCCUGGCCGUAAACGAUGUGGACUUGGUGUUGGGAUGGCUUCGAGCUGCCCCAGUGCCGAAGGGAAGCUGUUAAGUCCACCGCCUGGGAAG